rnacentral:rRNA from 1 species
GACGUAGGGCGCGAGCGUUGUCCGGAUUUAUUGGGCGUAAAGAGCUCGUAGGCGGCUUGUUGCGUCAGCUGUGAAAACCCGCAGCUCAACUGUGGGCUUGCAGCUGAUACGGGCAGGCUUGAGUUCGGUAGGGAGAUCGGAAUUCCGGUGUGAGCGGUGAAUGACGCAGAGUAUCAGGAGGAACACCGGUGGCGAAGGCGGAUCUCUGGGCCGAUACUGACGCUGAGGAGCGAGAGCGUGGGGAGCGAACAGG